AUGGGAGACAUAUUUUUUCAAUAUAAUCCGUCUUACAAGGACGUUGAGAGCUUACUACAGGCUUUUUUAAGUGAACGUGAAAAAAAUAAAAUAAUUGCUCAUGUCAACAAAACCCGGGGGCGUAAUGCAGCACAUUGGCCAUCUCAGGAUCCCGAAUGGGACUAUAAUAAUCCUGAGGACUAUCUACAACUAUACCGUUGUAGAGAGGCCAUCCUCACGGCCAUGAAGGAAUGUGCGGACAGUACAGAUAAGUGGAUGGAACUGGAAAAAAUUAAGCAAAAGGAAAACGAAACACCCUCCAGAUUUAUGGACAGAAUUAUCGAGUUUGGGGACAGAUACUUAGAUUGGGACUUAAAUAAAGAGAAUAGUUUAAGACAAGUUAGAAGAAUCUUUGUAAAUAAUUCAUGCAAAGUAAUUAAAAAUUAUUUUAAAACACAAUGCCCAAGAUGGUCAGAUAUGGACCUUGAAGAAUUGCGAAAAACAGCUAUAUAUGUUUUUAAGGGAAACGAAGAAAAGGAGAAAGAGAAUAAUGAUGACAUGGAGGAAAUGAAGAAAAAAAUGAGAUGUGUAAUAGAUAGGAUAACUAAAUUAGAAAGUGGGCAUGAUAAUGAACCAACGACAAUUGCCCCUCUCCAGAAAUCCAAUUAUCAAUCCAUUACUUGCCACUUCUGUGAGAAGAAGGGCCACAAAAUGAUGGAAUGUAGAACCUUUCUUAAGAUGUUUGGAAGGAAUACACAGUUUAAUAAUGGUUUUAGAAAUAAUAACUAUAGAAAUUAUGAUAAUGGUUAUAGAAACCAGAAUUCUAGAAAUUAUAAUAAUGACUAUGGAAAUAACUAUAAUGAAUAUAGAAAUAAGAACUUUAAAAACCAGAAUUAUAGAAAUAGGAAUUGGGAAUUUAAUGACAAUGCUCAAAUUGAAGAAAAUUUUAAUGAUAAUACUCAACAAUAUAUGAGAAAUGGCGCUCGUCCAAAAAUUACUCGAGGUGCUAAUGAUCCUCAGAGAGGUGCCCUUCAGGAGGGUGCCCAGGGAACUUCCCAGUAUAAUAAAGAUGAUUCUUCUUAG
rnacentral:lncRNA from 1 species